UACGUAGGGUGCGAGCGUUAAUCGGAAUUACUGGGCGUAAAGCGUGCGCAGGCGGUUUUGUAAGCCAGAUGUGAAAUCCCCGGGCUUAACCUGGGAAUGGCAUUUGGGACUGCAAGGCUUGAGUGCGGCAGAGGAGACUGGAAUUCCUGGUGUAGCAGUGAAAUGCGUAGAUAUCAGGAGGAACACCGAUGGCGAAGGCGGCUUUCUGGCCUGUUCUUGACGCUGAGGCGCGAAAGCUAGGGGAGCAAACGGG
rnacentral:rRNA from 1 species